UUCUCUCCCCUACGGCGCGGCCUGCCCUUCCUCCGGCACGCCCUCCUCCAGCGCGCCUGCUCUCUGCGCUCUGCUCCGGCGCGCUCUUCGCCACUGCACUGGUGUUGGCUUCUCGCGGAUCAAUUCGAGCGCGUGGGGAAGUUCACCCGCUGCAGCCGCAGCCCCAUGCCUCCCAGUUCAAAAAGUUUUGCUUCGCCCCCGGAUGAAGUUCAGUUGUUGCUGAAGCUUAUGUUGUUCACCAUCGCGUGGCUGCAGAGCAUCCAUGCAGGUCGAGUAAUUUUCUAAUGCCAGCUCAAUUACAAUAGCAGCUCCAGCGCAGCCGUCGGCGAUGGUGAAAACUGAAGUCUGAAACGAGUGUUGUUGGCUACAUCCGGCAAAAGAUAUUCUGAAGUUUGUUGACGAACAAAAAUUGCUACAACCUACAACAUCAGUUGGUUCCAUUGCGGCCGUGCGGCAAGCAGCAUUCAACACAAUCCUAAACCAACCCGUGGAGGUGGAGAGGUUGUUUUUUGGUUGAUUGGUUUUCACAUUUCUUAUGCGUGGAAAAUCAAGAACUGAUGCGUUCCUCUGUUUGUAUGCUCAUGCCCUGGGGGCUGAGGAUGAAAAGUACCUCCUAGUUGGGCUAUGUGGCAGAGAUAUAUAUAGACAUUUAGGCUUUUAUUGAUUUUAAUAAAAAAUGCAUUUUUCUGUUGGUGCA